UACGUAGGGUGCGAGCGUUAAUCGGAAUUACUGGGCGUAAAGCGUGCGUAGGCGGUCCCGCAAGUCCGCUGUGAAAGCCCCGAGCUUAACUUGGGAACUGCAGUGGAAACUAUGGGACUUGAAUCCGGCAGAGGGGGGUGGAAUGCCACGUGUAGCAGUGAAAUGCGUAGAUAUCUGGAGGAACACCGGUGGCGAAGGCGGGUCUCUGGGCAGUAACUGACGCUGAGGAGCGAAAGCGUGGGGAGCGAACAGG
rnacentral:rRNA from 1 species